rnacentral:misc_RNA from 1 species
UCCACUUCAAAAAUUUGUACUCCACUUGGUCCAUCGGCCUUUGCAUUGCUAGGACCAACAGUACCAUGUGCGUAGCUUCCAAAAUCUCCAAACUUCCCAAAAGAUUCACCAAACAGCAUUUGAGCCAUCUUUUUCAUGAACCAUUCCUACCUGUCCAAUCUAUUAAUCAACAUAUCCAUCUUGGCAUUUUGCUCAGCCAUAAUUCCUUUCUGCAAUUCAUGAGAUUUUUCUAAAAUACUCAAGCUCAGUCCACUCAUUUCUUUUAUUUCCUUCAUCAUUUCUAGAUUUGUUUUACUUAUUUUCACAAAAUCUGACAUUUUCAGCUUCAUUUUCUCUUUCUUCUUAGAGCUUUCCCCUUCAUCUAUCUUAGAACUUCUCUCUUUUAACUUGCUUAUUGGGAUAUCUGAUUCUGUUUCAGAGUUUGAUUCUAAUUCAGAUUCAAUCUCAAUCCCAG